rnacentral:rRNA from 1 species
CAGUCGCCGCGGUAAUACAGAGGUCCCGAGCGUUGUUCGGAUUCACUGGGCGUAAAGGGUGUGUAGGAGGUUGGAUAAGUCAGGUGUGAAAUCCCGCAGCUCAACUGCGGAACUGCAUUCGAUACUGUUCAACUAGAGGAUCGGAGGGGGAAGCGGAAUUCUUGGUGUAGCGGUGAAAUGCGUAGAUAUCAAGAGGAACACCGGUGGCGAAGGCGGCUUCCUGGAAGAUACCUGACUCUGAAACACGAAAGCCAGGGGAGCGAAUGGGAUUAGAUACCCCCGUAGUCCCUGUCUCUUAUAC